rnacentral:rRNA from 1 species
UACAGAGGGUGCAAGCGUUAAUCGGAAUUACUGGGCGUAAAGCGCACGUAGGCGGCAUCGCAAGUCCCAUGUGAAAGCCCACGGCUUAACCGUGGAAGUGCAUGGGAAACUGCAGUGCUUGAGUACUUAAGAGGAUCGCGGAAUUCCCGGUGUAGAGGUGAAAUUCGUAGAUAUCGGGAGGAACACCAGUGGCGAAGGCGGCGAUCUGGGAAGAUACUGACGCUGAGGUGCGAAAGCGUGGGGAGCAAACAGG